rnacentral:lncRNA from 1 species
GAGGGAGGGGACUGAGGGAGAGGAGAGAGAGCCUGGCCAGCGCUGGUUUCUUUCACACCUAUUUACAUGGACACCUUGGCCAAUAGGAAUCACUUCCAGCCGAAGACUGGGAGACCGGGAAGAGCCUCUGCCGCCCGCGGGGAGCGGGCAGCGCCUACCGGUGUGCGCAAUGGGAAGGUAUGAGCGGAGCAGCGCGCGGAGCCGGCUGGCAGGUUCAUAACAAGAAACACCUUAUCCCUACAGGAAAUCCCACAACCUUUAGCAAUGACUAUUCAUUGCCAUUUGAUAAGUAGUACCCCCCUGUGCGCCAGGGGCUAGAGAGUGCAAAUUUGAACAAAUUAAGACCACAGACUGCGUUUUAAUAAGGACAAGGAAGGCACAUCUGAAGAGUUCCCGUCUGGAGGAAGAAUGCACUUUCCUGGUUAGGAGAAGCAGCGGGACACAGGGGCCAGACCGCUCAGGGCUUUGAGGAGAUGCUGAAGUUAACCAGAAAUGCUUUGUGUUGCCGUUCCUGUUGAAACGUUUCUGAGAUUGCUUCUACAUGCUGCAGGAGGUUUUGAAAUGCUGCACUAGAUCUCUUAAGAACAGAUGUAUUCAAGCAACUGUCCAGACCAACUGACAGAGGAGAGUCAGGCAUCCUGAAAGGGGCUGGGAAGUUUAUGAAGAUGGGUUAGACUUAGUCUGCACAGCCUGGGGAUCCUGGAUGAGAACUGACUUAUGACAAUAUCAGCAAAAGAAAAAAAAAAUAAAUCCACAGUGUUAUAGCUACAGAACAGUGAUGGGAGUGACGGCCCAGGGGCAUGGACCAAAUCAAGCAUCGUGCUUGAGCUCUUAGACAAGCUUGGACUGCAAGCUCUUGCACUUCCUACGGUCAGGUCCGUACAGCUGUUCUACGUAAGCAUAAAUGUAUUUAUGCAAGUGUAAUGUAUCAUCAUCAGUCAGGCUGGAACAUCUGCAGUGCUCCAGUGUGUGACCCUUUUUCUCCGAGUUGUAACCACACCAUCCUUAGCAAGUUAGCCUUUUGGCUUAGAAAUUUAGACAGCUUUCCGGUGAUAGGUUAUUAGAGAGGGGUGCAAUUUUAAAGACAAAACUAGAAAUGCCAUGAUCACUUCACUUGGCUUUCUUUGUGUCUGUCUUAAUCUCAACCUUGGAAAACACUAAAGUCCGUGGAGGAAGUGGAACAGACUGGCUCAGAACACCAGAGAAGCAGGCUCACUUCUGAUCAGGAGUAUCCCAUCACCGUGGAUAAGUCAUUCAGGUUUCCUGCAUUUCUGUGAAGUGUGGAAAUAGCUGGAAAGGUAGAGGGCUACUCAUCAUCA